rnacentral:rRNA from 1 species
CGUAGGUGAACCUGCGGAGGGAUCAUUACACAAAUAUGAAGGCGGGCUGGAACCUCUCGGGGUUACAGCCUUGCUGAAUUAUUCACCCUUGUCUUUUGCGUACUUCUUGUUUCCUUGGUGGGUUCGCCCACCACUAGGACAAACAUAAACCUUUUGUAAUUGCAAUCAGCGUCAGUAACAAAUUAAUAAUUACAACUUUCAACAACGGAUCUCUUGGUUCUGGCAUCGAUGAAGAACGCAGCGAAAUGCGAUAAGUAGUGUGAAUUGCAGAAUUCAGUGAAUCAUCGAAUCUUUGAACGCACAUUGCGCCCUUUGGUAUUCCAAAGGGCAUGCCUGUUCGAGCGUCAUUUGUACCCUCAAGCUUUGCUUGGUGUUGGGCGUCUUGUCUCUAGCUUUGCUGGAGACUCGCCUUAAAGUAAUUGGCAGCCGGCCUACUGGUUUCGGAGCGCAGCACAAGUCGCACUCUCUAUCAGCAAAGGUCUAGCAUCCAUUAAGCCUUUUUUUCAACUUUUGACCUCGGAUCAGGUAGGGAUACCCGCUGAACUUAAGCAUAUCAAUAAGCG